GAUGAACGCUGGCGGCGUGCCUAAUACAUGCAAGUCGAGCGAACGGACGAGAAGCUUGCUUCUCUGAUGUUAGCGGCGGACGGGUGAGUAACACGUGGAUAACCUACCUAUAAGACUGGGAUAACUUCGGGAAACCGUAGCUAAUACCGGAUAAUAUUUUGAACCGCAUGGUUCAAAAGUGAAAGACGGUCUUGCUGUCACUUAUAGAUGGAUCCGCGCUGCAUUAGCUAGUUGGUAAGGUAACGGCUUACCAAGGCAACGAUGCAUAGCCGACCUGAGAGGGGGAUCGGCAAAACGGGAACUGGGAACGGGGCCAGACCCCUACGGGGGGAAGCAGGGGGGAUUCUGCCGCAAGGGGGGAAAGCCGGAGGGAGCAACGCCGGGGGGGGGAGAAAGGUCUGCGGUUCGUAAAACUUUUUUAUUGGGGAAAAAAAGAUGGGAAAGUAACGGGGAAAAUCUGGAGGGUACCUAAGCAAAAGGCCCCGGCAAACUACGU
rnacentral:rRNA from 1 species